UACGUAGGGUCCGAGCGUUGUCCGGAAUUACUGGGCGUAAAGGGCGCGUAGCGGCGCGGUAAGUCACUUGUGAAAUCUCUGAGCUUAACUCAGAACGGCCAAGUGAUACUGCAGUGCUAGAGUGUGGAAGGGGCAAUCGGAAUUCUUGGUGUAGCGGUGAAAUGCGUAGAUAUCAAGAGGAACACCUGAGGUGAAGACGGGUUGCUGGGCCAACACUGACGCUGAGGCGCGAAAGCCAGGGGAGCAAACGGG
rnacentral:rRNA from 1 species